rnacentral:pre_miRNA from 1 species
UGAGGUAGUAGUUUGUAUAGUUUUAGGAUCAUACCCGAUCUCGGAGAUAACUAUACAGCCUACUGUCUUUC